rnacentral:rRNA from 1 species
GACGAACGCUGGCGGCGUGCCUAAUACAUGCAAGUCGAACGCAGUGGGGACGGGUGAGUAACACGUGGGUAACCUCCCAUCAGAGGGGAUAACACUUGGAAACAGGUGCUAAACCGAUACUGAUGGAUGGACCCGCGGUGCAUUAGCUAGUUGGUGAGGUAACGGCUCGCCAAGGCCACGAUGCAUAGGCGACCUGAGAGGGUGAUGGGGCACACGUGGACUGAGACACGGCCCAGACUCCUUCGGGAGGCAGCAGUAGGGAAUCGUCGGCAAUGGACGAAAGUCUUACCGAGCAACGCCGCGGGAGUGAAGAAGGUUUUCGGAGCGUAAAGCUCUGUUGUUAAGGAAGCGGUACUUAACCAGAAAGGGACGGCUAACUACGUGCCAGCAGCCGCGGUAAUAC